GAGUUUGAUCCUGGCUCAGGACGAACGCUGGCGGCGUGCUUAACACAUGCAAGUCGAACGGAGUUUAAGAGGAAGCUUGCGAAUCUUAAACUUAGUGGCGGACGGGUGAGUAACGCGUGGAUAACCUGCCUGAAUGACUGGGACAACACCGGGAAACUGGUGCUAAUACCGGAUACGCUCACCAUUGCGCAGGCAAAGGUGAGGAAAGGAGAAAUCCGCAUACAGAUGGGUCCGCGUCCCAUUAGCUAGUUGGCGGUGUAAGAGACCACCAAGGCGACGAUGGGUAGCCGGCCUGAGAGGGUGGACGGCCACACUGGAACUGAGACACGGUCCAGACUCCUACGGGAGGCAGCAGUGGGGAAUCUUCCGCAAUGGGCGAAAGCCUGACGGAGCAACGCCGCGUGAGUGAGGAAGGCCUUCGGGUCGUAAAACUCUGUCUUCAGGGAAGAAAAAAAUGACGGUACCUGAGGAGGAAGCCCCGGCUAACUACGUGCCAGCAGCCGCGGUAAAACGUAGGGGGCGAGCGUUGUCCGGAAUUACUGGGCGUAAAGGGCGCGUAGGCGGUUAUUUAAGUCAGAGGUGAAAACUACCGGCUCAACCGGUAGCCUGCCUUUGAAACUGGAUGACUUGAGGGCAGGAGAGGGGAGUGGAAUUCCCAGUGUAGCGGUGAAAUGCGUAGAUAUUGGGAGGAACACCAGUGGCGAAGGCGGCUCUCUGGCCUGUUUCUGACGCUGAGGCGCGAAAGCGUGGGGAGCAAACGGGAUUAGAUACCCCGGUAGUCCACGCCGUAAACGAUGGGUGCUAGGUGUAGGAGGUAUCGACCCCUUCUGUGCCGUAGUUAACACAAUAAGCACCCCGCCUGGGGAGUACGGCCGCAAGGUUGAAACUCAAAGGAAUUUGACGGGGGCCCGCACAAGCGGUGGAGCAUGUGGUUUAAAUUCGACGCAACGCG
rnacentral:rRNA from 1 species